CAUGUCCAGAAGAGUAGUUUCAGAUCUGUGGAAACCAGGAAAAGAGAACCGUGGGAGCACUGAUGAACGAAAGAGAAUCUGAAGCACAAGAUGAUGAAGGCCGAAGGAAUAAGCAACCAAUGGCUGAGAUGGUAAAUUGGAUUCACGUAAGAAUCCAAAAAUGUCAACUCUAGCUAUUAGGAGAAGAGAAGAUGAGUCGCAACCGCUGAAUCAGUCAUCAAAGCGGUGCAUUUUGUUUUCUUGUGCUCCACGCUCUCG
rnacentral:misc_RNA from 1 species